rnacentral:rRNA from 1 species
UACGAAGGGUGCAAGCGUUACUCGGAAUUACUGGGCGUAAAGCGUGCGUAGGUGGUUCGUUAAGUCUGUCGUGAAAGCCCCGGGCUCAACCUGGGAAUGGCGAUGGAUACUGGCGGGCUAGAGUGCGGUAGAGGCGAGUGGAAUUCCCGGUGUAGCAGUGAAAUGCGUAGAGAUCGGGAGGAACAUCAGUUGCGAAGGCGGCUCUCUGGACCAGCACUGACACUGAGAGACGAAAGCUAGGGGAGCGAAUGGG